rnacentral:rRNA from 1 species
GACGAACGCUGGCGGCGUGCUUAACACAUGCAAGUCGAACGGAAAGGCCCUGCUUUUGUGGGGUGCUCGAGUGGCGAACGGGUGAGUAACACGUGAGUAACCUGCCCUUGACUUUGGGAUAACUUCAGGAAACUGGGGCUAAUACCGGAUAGGAGCUCCUGCUGCAUGGUGGGGGUUGGAAAGUUUCGGCGGUUGGGGAUGGACUCGCGGCUUAUCAGCUUGUUGGGGGGGUAGUGGCUUACCAAGGCUUUGACGGGUAGCCGGCCUGAGAGGGUGACCGGCCACAUUGGGACUGAGAUACGGCCCAGACUCCUACGGGAGGCAGCAGUGGGGAAUAUUGCACAAUGGGGGGAAGCCUGAUGCAGCAACGCCGCGUGCGGGAUGACGGCCUUCGGGUUGUAAACCGCUUUCGCCUGUGACGAAGCGUGAGUGACGGUAAUGGGUAAAGAAGCACCGGCUAACUACGUG